UAUAGAUUUCUCCCCAAUCAGAUAAGGCUGGAGCUGCCACUUCUUCUCCCCCUCACCGCGUCCCAUCCCCAUCCCCAUCGCCGGCGCCCCUCCCUCCCCAUCGUCGGCGCCCUCUCUCCCAUCCCUAUCCCUGUCGCUGGCGCCCCUCCUUCCCAUCCCCAUCAACGUCGCCGGCGCCCCUCCCUCCCCGUCGUCGGCGCGACGAGCCGCGAUCUCUGGGAGGCGAGCGCGGGAGGAGAAGAAACGCGCGCGCAGGGAGGGCGAUUUGGGGAUGAAGCGCGCCGGGAGGAACCGCGCGGCAAAGCCACGCCUCAGCAAUGCGCCAUGCCCUUGUUUCUCCACGCUGCCCCGCCUCGAUAGCGCCGAAGAACGGGUGACCAAGUUUGGUCACACGCGCUCGCGAUUUGUGGGCCAACGCUAGGACGUGGCGGCGAUUUUUGGCGGCUCGCCUAUGUGGACCGCUCGGGCUGAAUACCAGCAGGGUGCACUGUGAAUGGCCUAACUGUAUUGCCCUCUUUCUCAGCAAAGCUUCGCUCUAAAGUUGUUACUGUAUUUCUAGUGUUGCACAUACAAAAGUAGUACUAGUACUCCUUUAGUUACAGAGUAAAUACAACUUGGAGACAGGUUUUACAUUCUUGCUUCCUAAAAUAAUCAUACAAGAAUCUUGACUGCUCUGUCUCGGGAUACAAGUUUUAAUUAGCAGGUGGAAAGUAGUGCUGACA